UCUACGGUGUGCAGCAGUGGGGAAUAUUGGACAAUGGGCGAAAGCCUGAUCCAGCCAUGCCGCGUGUGUGAAGAAGGCCUUCGGGUUGUAAAGCACUUUCAGUGGGGAAGAAAGCCUUGGGGCUAAUACCCUCGAGGAAGGACAUCACCCACAGAAGAAGCACCGGCUAACUCCGUGCCAGCAGCCGCGGUAAUACGGAGGGUGCGAGCGUUAAUCGGAAUUACUGGGCGUAAAGCGCGCGUAGGCGGUCUGAUAAGCCGGUUGUGAAAGCCCCGGGCUCAACCUGGGAACGGCAUCCGGAACUGUCAGGCUAGAGUGCAGGAGAGGAAGGUAGAAUUCCCGGUGUAGCGGUGAAAUGCGUAGAGAUCGGGAGGAAUACCAGUGGCGAAGGCGGCCUUCUGGACUGACACUGACGCUGAGGUGCGAAAGCGUGGGUAGCAAACAGGAUUAGAUACCCCAGUAGUC
rnacentral:rRNA from 1 species